rnacentral:rRNA from 1 species
UACGUAGGGUGCAAGCGUUGUCCGGAAUUAUUGGGCGUAAAGAGCGUGUAGGCGGCCCGAUUAGUCCGCUGUGAAAGUCCAGGGCUCAACCCUGGAAUGCCGGUGGAUACUGUCGGGCUAGAGUCCGGAAGGGGCGAGUGGAAUUCCUGGUGUAGCGGUGAAAUGCGCAGAUAUCAGGAGGAACACCGGUGGCGAAGGCGGGUCUCUGGGCCGUUACUGACGCUGGAGGAGCGAAAGCGUGGGGAGCGAACAGG